UAGAAAACACCUCGAAAACAAUAACCUAACUCGCUAUUCAUCUCUGGAGAUGAGGGAACCGAGUCCAAGUCAUUGUAAUAAUCAAUGCCGUUCAAAUCGAUUUCAGUGCACCAUAUUUCACCUCAGGAGAAAAGAUAACCAAAAUUCACCUUUCCCCUUCACGAAACUCACACGAUUCUCAAUUAUUUCCUUCGAAUCCUUGAAAUAGAGAUGCAGAGUUCUCCAUUUUUCAAAUUUAGGUCCUCUUCCAAGCCUCGAUUCGUCUUUGUCGAACAGGUAAUUUUAAGUCAAUUGUUGUGUUGGGUAGCUGUCAGAAAAUGGAAUAUCGAUGUCUUCUUUUUGGUUAAUCUAUUACUAUUUGAUAUGUGUGUGUGUGUUGUGCAGAUAGUAGCCUUAUGCACUAGAUGCCUCAACUGCUGCAAUGAAUUUGUGCAUUUCUGACACAAGGAAACAAGGUUUGCCUCCAAAUUUGCCUAUGUAUCAGCUCUGGUAGCAGAUAUAUUAUUACUUUUUCUUUACAUAAUGUCGGAUUGUUAGGGCCUGUUUGGGCCGAUUUUUUCACCCAAAAAAUUGAUUUUUUGACAGUUAUUUCGUUAUUUCCAGCCGUCAUAUUUGACUUCCUCUCUCACAGGUGGAUCCCACUUUUCUCCUAACGAUCAAAAAAUCAAUUCUCAAAAUCACUCCCAAACAUGAUCUUAAUUCGUUUAUUCGCUCUCCUGAGUUAUUAGAAGUCUUAGCCCUAAUAGUUUGGUACUUGAAGCCUUAUCUCUGGUUAUCACUUUCUUAUAUGAGUUAUACAGAUAAAUUCAAGUUUUAGGUGUGAAUAAUAAAUUUUCAUUUGAACUCAGAGUAUAUGAGAGGUUUUUGGUUUUAAUACUCCCGUUCUUCAUCUUGAAAUUCACUCCAGAAUUACACAUUUUGUCGUACGGUGAUUGAUGUAGAGUGAUUCCCCCCAUUAUUCAAAUGUUUAUAGAACAUGUCGUCGGGCUAACUGAGUUGAGCAUAAUCACAAAUUGAUUUUGUAAGUUUGUGAAACCAAGCUAAUGGAAAUCGUUUCGGCCGUAGAGAGAUUUCUUACAUUCCUCAUCCUUUCUUGACCAUAUAAUUCCUCAAACCUUGGUGCUCCAUCCAUAUAAUUUCUCUCUCCAUUCAAGAACACGUUUUUUAUAUCAAGCAGGUGCAUUGGCCAUUUACAGUUGUCAGGGCUCGCACCCGUGCUCACCGAUUCACUCCACUCACCAACUCACUGCUCAUCUACGACCAAUGCAUUCUAAAAUAUUCUGAAGCCCGUGCUCUAUAAAUUCAUCACUUGGAUGAAGGAAAAAAGGGUGGAAGAUCGUUAGCCUUGGUGCAAAAGAAAAUCUCCCCCUUUCUCUAUUUCUUUUGAAUCUUGGAGCAAAACAGAAUCUUCCCCUUUAUUUCUCUUGAAUCUUUUUAUCUAUUUCUCUCCUCUUUGGAAUAUGCUUCUCUUUAUCUCUAAAUCUGAAUCUGAAUCUGAAUCCUUCUUCUCUUCUUAUUUCUCUGAAUCUAUCUUCCACUUUCUUUGUUUCUUCUUCAUCUUCUGAACUAUUUAUUUUCUCUUUUAUGUUUGUCCUUUUUACUUGUAAUUUUCUGUAUUGCAAUAGAAAUUAUCAAUUGUUGGAAUACACAUGCACCAAAUAACAGCAGAUUCAGCCUUCCAGCGUCAUGUCUGCACCAGAAUAUUCCAUCUCCAGCUCUGCAUAUUCCAGAUCCUCCCAGCAUGUAUAGCUGUUAGAUAAUUAGUUAGUUAAUUAGUCUACUAUUUUCUCUAUAAUUAGGGCAUUGUAUUAACUGAAAAAUCGUUGGAUUGUAGCCUUCCAAUCCCUCCUUCAUGGAGUGUUUUCUUCCUCCAAUUAUGGAGUGUAUUUCCUCCUUUAAUGGAGUGUUCCAUUAUAAUUCCCCUUCUCCUUUAAUGGAGUUUAAUAAAUUGUUUUCCAUUCAAUGAUUUCUAAUAGCAAUCAAUUAAAUUUAAA
rnacentral:lncRNA from 1 species